rnacentral:rRNA from 1 species
UAGGGAAUUUUCGGCAAUGGGGGAAACCCUGACCGAGCAAUGCCGCGUGAAUGAAGAAGAUCUUCGGAUUGUAAAAUUCUGUUAUUGGGGAAGAAACAUACAAAUAGGAAAUGAUUUGUAUUUGACGGUACCUGAUGAGUAAGCCCCGGCUAACUAUGUGCCAGCAGCCGCGGUAAUACAUAGGGGGCAAGCGUUAUCCGGAAUUAUUGGGCGUAAAGCGUGCGUAGGCGGUUUAUUAAGUCUGAUGUAAAAUCCCACAGCUUAACUGUGGAUGGCAUUGGAAACUGGUAGACUAGAGUACGGUAGAGGUAAGUGGAAUUCCAAGUGGAGCGGUGGAAUGCGUAGAGAUUUGGAGGAACACCAGUGGCGAAGGCGGCUUACUGGGCCGGAACUGACGCUGAGGCACGAAAGCGUGGGGAGCAAACAGGA